UACGGGGGGAGCAAGCGUUGUUCGGAUUUACUGGGCGUAAAGGGCGCGUAGGCGGUCGUGACAAGUCACUUGUGAAAUCUCCGGGCUUAACUCGGAACGGUCAAGUGAUACUGUCGGACUAGAGUACAGAAGGGGCAACUGGAAUUCUCGGUGUAGCGGUGAAAUGCGUAGAUAUCGAGAGGAACACUUGCGGCGAAGGCGGGUUGCUGGGCUGAUACUGACGCUGAGGCGCGAAAGCCAGGGGAGCGAACGGG
rnacentral:rRNA from 1 species